rnacentral:rRNA from 1 species
CAGGAUGAACGCUGGCGGCGUGCUUCAUACAUGCAAGUCGAACGUGAAGCUGACUUCGGUCAGUGGAAAGUGGCGGACGGGUGAGUAAUACAUAGGAAAUCUGCCCUUAGCUGGGGGACAACAGUUGGAAACGACUGCUAAUACCGCAUAUGAGCUUAGUUGAAAUACUAAUCUUGAAAACUCCGGUGGCUAAGGAUGAGCCUGUGCCUGAUUAGCUAGUUGGUGGUGUAAUGGACUACCAAGGCGACGAUCAGUAGCUGGUUUGAGAGGAUGAUCAGCCACAAUGGGACUGAGACACGGCCCAUACUCCUACGGGAGGCAGCAGUAGGGAAUUUUGCGCAAUGGGGGAAACCCUGAACCGCAGCAACGCCGCGUGACCGAUGAAGCCCUUCGGGGUGUAAAGGUCUGUCAGUGGGGACGAAACUUGACGGUACCCACAGAGGAAGCAUCGGCUAACUCCGUGCCAGCCGCCGC